UGUGAGAGCGAGCCUGCUCGCGAAGGCGUUAACCCGGUCAACAUCAAUGUCGACUGACACGCCGCUUUCGCGAGCAGGCUCGCUCCCACA
rnacentral:misc_RNA from 1 species